rnacentral:sRNA from 1 species
UGGGGCAACCAGUUACAUGGGAUCCAUUGGAAAGGACAAAUACGGAGAGGCAAUGAAGAAGGAUGCUACAGCAGCUGGUGU